rnacentral:lncRNA from 1 species
CUUUUCCACAUUAACUUAACCGUUCUCCCUCCCCAGAUUUAUUCUGAAGGUUCAAUGGACCCCUAAAAAAUAUGAAAUACUGCAUUUUAAGGGACAUUAAAGAAAUCGACUGGAUUUAGUGGAAUUAAAGUCAACUGGAAGACGAUCUGUGGGGAUAAUUCCAUGAUUCAAAGCCUUCAGGGAAAACGUGUUUGCUCAGCUGCAGUGAUUGAAAAAUUGAAGGCAAUGAGAGUCAUAUGUUAUGCUUGGUUAUGUCCUGCUCUGAUGCCAGUUUGGAGUAAAGGCUGAACUUUGCUGUUGAAAGCCACUGUGGAAAGUGGAAACAUUGACUGUGCGUUGCUGAGGGGAGGAAUGUAUUUACUUACCCAGAAAUAGACGCAUCCUUGUCUCAGUGGGCUGGGAGAUAGUAUCAAUCCUUUCUGUUGCAACAGAUCCCACUGCCUUCUUUUUUCAAAAGAGUAAAUAUUUAAAUAGGUAAUACAGAAAAGUUAUUGCCAUUUUUCCUUCAUCAGCCAUGGCUGGGAGUCAAAAGAGAGAGUGAGGCAGAACUCACACAUGGGGAAAUAAUAUUGUGGACGUUAUAUAUAAUCCUUUUAAAGUAACGGCAUUAGACUUCGUGAUUUGCAAUUGGCCAAAUUGAGAAAACUUUUCUCAAAAAGCCAUUUUAAGAUAAAAAAUUAUGAAUUUUCUUAAGCCCUGUGAUUAGAGUGUAACACGUAUUUAUGGUCCCCCCAGGCACCACCCAAUAAAAAUGGUUAAAACCUUUAGUACUUUUAGUAGUUCACAGUUUUAUGGCCAAAGUUAUUUUGUAGAUUUUAUGCUUAAAGCAAGGUCAAUGUAUUGCACUGUAUAAAUUAUUCUAAGUAAUUGCUCAGUUAUUUUAUAGCUUAGUCACAGGAUUUUUUCAUUAUUAAACGUAGCCUUUUCUUUAAAGUUAGGAUGAGAAGGGCACGAUAAAUCACAGAGCAGCUUGCCAUUGGGGUUUCAGCUUUACCUGUGAUAAGGGUUUAAUAACAAUCUGGCCCAGACACCAGCUCCCUCUCAAUUACCUUUCCACAUGGGCAUUAGUUCACACUGUUUAUUAAAAACUCCCCUUGUAGUUCUUAAAUGGAGUGUUUCAGAUUAAUGGCCCCCACGGAGUUUAACUUCAUUGCACUUCAUUAAAGCUAGAUUGUACAAAAGGUUACUUCAAUUAAAUCCAGAAUGCGACCUUAAAUCUGUAUAGAUUUUUUUCAGAAAAUGUGAUAAAAUUGCUCUGCCAAUCCUUCAAGAUUAACAAGACAAAAUCCCUUUCAGUAACCAAAGUACAAAAAUUUGUGUGCCUGUUCUGAGUUUUCCUCUGGCUGUACAACUGGAUUUUAUAGAAUUAGAGGACAACUCGUGGAAAGAGCCUGGAGUUACAAAUGGAUCAAGUUACCGGAGAGCUGAGCCCCAGUGUGAGGCUGGAGAGUUUGGGAGACCUUUUGUUCCCCUUGAGUGGAUGCUGUACAUUUGGUGCUUUAGAAAAAAAAAUAUUUUGCUUCCCAUAUAAUAAAAAUAUUUU